ACCUGGCUAGCUCAGCUGGUAGAGCAUGGGACUUUUGAUCUCAGGGUUGUGAGUUCAAGCCCCACAUUGGGCU
rnacentral:tRNA from 1 species